AGGAAAAGCACCAUUAAAUGGCCAAGAGCGACAAGAUGAGGAAUUUAAUAGUACACAGGAAAGCAAUAUCUUAGUAAAGAAAGAAAGGAACAACCCGAGAUAAGGAAAUGAUGGCUCUUGCCACUAAAUCUAUCCGAUUGUAAGAACAUUUGUCUGUAAAUGUUUGACAAGAGCUCGUUUGGCCAGACCUUGAGGAUCCUCAGACCUUCUUCAGCAAGGUUUCCUGAAGAAGGAAGAAAUAUGUAACAGGAAUUGCAAGAAAUGAAUCACUAUUUUUGAAACCAGGAUUCAAAACGUGCUGCAAGGCCUGAUGCUCACAGAGAGAUAUUUAGGUUCUGCGGAGGAAACAACAAGAGCCCUGCAACCAUCUCAAAUCAGAGAUCUGCUUGGGAAUGUGCGUAGGCCAGCUAUGUGCAACGGCUGCAAACCCACCUACCUAUGGAGCACCCUGCACUGCUGGAUGCUUGUUUACACCGACUUCUACAGAUUGGUUCAGCGCUUCAUUCCUGGAAGGGCUGCAUAGCUUUGUGUUGUGUUUGCCUUUGCAGUACAUUACAUAACAAAAAUACGGGCUGACAAGGAGGUGAAGGCACCCACCCAAGGCUCUGCAUCUCUGCGCUGGGGGGAGGCACGUACCAACAUGCACAGACUUGUUUCAAUACAAGAUUUAAUAUGGUGUACUGUGAUCAGAAAAGGAAAGAAAUAUAUUAUUAAGCUUUUUUUUUUGACAGUGAGGUACGGUACAAAGAAGGAUGCAUUGCUGAGAAGGCAAAGUGCAGACAAGAAGACCAAGAAAAGUUCAGGUGGUUUCAUAUCCUCUCAGUUGAGACAACAUGAAUGUUUUCCUCCUCAUUUUAAGGAGGAAGCUGGGAUAGUGCAACUGCUUGGUCCUCCUGGAUCACGGAAUCGCUAAGGUUGUAAAAGAUCACUGAGAUCAUCUAGGCCAACCAUCAAAGGUAUUGCACUAAGCCAUGGACAGAGGAGACACUGUCCCAGCACUCCUCAGUAAGGCAUCAGUCUGCCUUCUGCAAGCACUCUAAGAGGGCAUGAUUUCACGAUCUGGGAGGCAAUUGUCAUUCUGUUUAUCAGGGAAGCAUCUAGAAGUCUUACUCCAGAAUAUCCUCAGGGCUGGGAAUUACAAAAAAAUAAAAGCUACAUAUUCAAGGAAGGACACAGGGUAGGUAACUGUCAGGUAGUGGAGGACAGUGCUUCCAGCUGAGCACCACUUAGCUUCCUCCAUCCCCACUGACUGACAGCCACCUCAGAGCCUGAGCAUCACUUCAAGCAAAGAAAGCACAGCACACAGGAAAUCCGUAGUGAGAAGUUGCGUGACAGUGUUCUCAGUGUCUCGCUGUCACAUGCAGAGUGUAUGUGAACCAAAGCCUGUUCCUCUCCCACAGCAACAACUGAUCUGACCUCUACUUCAGACUGCAGCAACUCUGUGCAUCUUUAACAUCCGUCCUUUACUGAUGAAGCUUUUUUCUCUUCGCAAUGACAGCAGCGUUAAAGCCAACAGAGAACAUGUGCAAUUCAUCUUUUCACUUGGAAUUAAAUACUCACUUUAUAAGAAGGCAAGUCUAUCUCUCUUAAUAGAGGGGGAAAAAAAAGACAGAAGGGACAGGAACUACGCUGUGUUUACAGACUGUAAUUUAAACCUGAUCCUGAAAAGUAAUGUUAAAAUGAUAAACAUGUUUGUGAUGCGUUAAUGUUUAAUGAUGAUGUUAUUGAACACAGGGAUUAGAUCCCUAUCAGAUGGGGUUUUGAAGAAGAUACCUGGACUACGGAAAGAUUUUCAAAGGCAUUUUUCUUGCUAAGAAAUAGCCAUCUCCUUGUACGUGACUCCUUCUUAGUAUCUUAAAAACACAUUAAGUUUUUCAUCCUCCAGUUCAGAUUUUAAAACUGCUGUUUAUCUAUUUUAAAGAUCUCUGUGAUGAAAAAAGAACUACAAUUAAUGGGGGGUUUAGGCCUCACUGUAUACAAAGAAUCUGUUCAUCUACCAAUCCAUAGAUAUAGUCACAUUUUAGCUUUAAGACGUGGUUAAAACUUAAAGGACUGAUUGAAAAAUAUUGGCAAGAACAAUUUUAUUUAACAAAAUAUCCAGUGGUUUGCCUAACAUCUAAUUCCACAGUGAGCUCACUGACGUUAUCAUUUUCCAAAAGACUCAGAGAGAGGUUUUUUAGGGUAAGAAAGAAGAGCUAAGCCUCAGAAUGUGGAUGAUCCAAUGCUUGUGCAAGAGAAAGUCACUCCAGGCAACACAUAACCUUACCUGACCUAUGAGGAGAUACUACCCACACAGCACAACUUCCAUUUACCAAAUCCAAAACUGCCCCAGAAUACGUAAGGCAGCCAUUGCUAUACCCUCAAGAAGAUGUCAGGCUUCUCGUAGUGGCUUCUCAUGCCCUGUUCUUCAAGGUCAGGCUGGAUGGGGCUCUGGGCACCUGACUGAGCUGUGUGUAUCUCUGUUUAUUGCUGGGGAGUUGAACUAGAUGACCAUUAAGGGUCCCUUCCAACUCAAACCAUUCUGUGAUUGCCUUUUGCCUCGGCUGGCACUGAGGAAACAGCACUUGCUGAAGGCCAGCAGAUGUGCAGGUACACCGUGGUGAUGAUGCACGUGUUCAGAGGGACUGCAAGAAGGUACCAACUUUAGAAGCAGAUCAUAAAAAAAAAAAGUCAAAAAACAAAGUCCCAAGUUUACCUUUGGAAUUCACUGGUUAUCAAAAGGGAAUUAAACAACAUAUGCGUCCGCACUCUGUUUACUAGGGUUCUGAGUUGUGUACACUGUCUGAAUGUUUUACAUAUAUAUGUAUGCAUGCACCUAAGGGAUUUUAAAAAAAAGAUGGGGUGACAACCUCAGCUUAUGUUUUCUUUUGAAGAACAAAUUUCUACAUUAAAACUAUAUCAUAGAAUUGCUUGAGUUGGAAGGGACUCUUUAAAGGUCAUCUGAUCCAAUUCCCCUGAACUAAACAGGGACAUCCAAUGCUCAGUCAGGGUGUUUACAGCCCCAUCUAGCCUGACUUUGAAUGUCUCCAAGAACAGACACCCACUACCCCUCUGGGAUGCUGAUUGUAGCAUAACAGACCUGCAAGCAGUCAGUGGAAAUGCACGUGUUAAAAACCAAGCCCUUUUUAUGUAUUGGCUCAGUUGUGAUCAGAAGUGUUAACAUCUUACCAAAGACCAAACAAUAUGUGUAUGGGACUUUAUCUGAUGGAGAGGUUACUUCAUAUUAUUUUAAUUCCAGUUUAUACCUUCUUGAAGGCAAUUGGUACUGAAAAAACAUGUCAUUUGUCUGGUGCAGAACAGAAAGGUCUGUAGUAUCUGUAUUCUAAGAUAUGUUAUUGCCUAUACAAGCUAAGAGAACAAAAGAAAGGAAGAAAGGAAGAAAGGAAGAAAGGAAGAAAGGAAGAAAGGAAGAAAGGAAGAAAGGAAGAAAGGAAGAAAGGAAGAAAGGAAGAAAGGAAGAAAGGAAGAAAGGAAGAAAGGAAGAAAGGAAGAAAGGAAGAAAGGAAGAAAGGAAGAAAGAAAUUGAAAAAAAAAAAAACAACCAACUUUUUAAAGGACAGUAACUUUCUAAUAAAUCCAACACAGAAUGCUACAGACAGCACUUAAGAGCACACUGACACAGUAUUAUCUGCAGAAUUAUGGACAACCCUAGGACCCUGCCAGGUUGAAGCUUAAUACCAGAAAUAGAAUAAAUUGAUUCAAGAAGUCAUCUUGAACACCACCGUUCAGCUUGAGUGCAGUUCAUUCUCUAAUGAUUAAAUGUUACUUCUUUAUAAGCUUCAUUCUGGCCAAAACUAUCUUACAUUAAUAUUUUCACAAACUACAUUCCAAAAUAAACUUUUUAUAUAUGAUACAAAUACCAAAGUCACUUCAGUUCACUUAUUGUGGUCAUGACCACUUUGGCAAGAUUAUGGGGAGGGAGGAGAAAUCCAAUAAAUUAGAUAUUUUCAUGAUUUAGUGUUUUCGAAGGUCAGAAAGCAGCAC
ensembl:lncRNA